CUCCCCAAAUAGACUCCUUAUAACAAACGCUCUGUGCAGCUUUUGCUUAGACUGUUACCCUAUCAAGGCAAAACAGAAAUGUGCAAGUGAUAUUGGAAGCGUGUAAUCACAGUAUCACUAUGGGAUACCACUCUGUGUGUAUCUUAGUGCUCAUCGCCAUCCUCACUGGUUGCAUCACAAAGUCAGCAUUAGCUCAGUGCAAUACCACCCAGGUUAAUGG